rnacentral:rRNA from 1 species
UACGUAGGGGGCAAGCGUUGUCCGGAUUUAUUGGGCGUAAAGAGCUCGUAGGCGGUUCCGUAAGUCGAGUGUGAAAAAUCUGGGCUCAACCCAGUGGAGCACUCGAUACUGCGGUGACUGGAGUACGGUAGGAGGAGUGUGGAAUUCCUGGUGGUAGCGGUGAAAUGCGCAGAUAUCAGGAGGAACACCGGUGGCGAAGGCGGGUCUCUGGGCCGAUACUGACGCUGAGGAGCGAAAGCGUGGGGAGCGAACAGG